rnacentral:lncRNA from 1 species
UGCCAGAUGGUGUUGCAAAUACUAGCUAGUACUAGGAAUGAUUCGUACCGAGAAAAAAAGGCAAGAAAAAUGGGUUCUUCAGCUGCGCCAUGAAUGCAAGAUUAUCCGAGCUCUUUUUGCCGAUGUGACGGAAGGCUUCGUAUAAACAACUUACCUCGAGAGCCUACAUUUACAUCGAGCUAAUUUAUCAUCCCCGUUGCACGCUGCCGUCAGCUUUUUCUGUUUCAUGACGCUACGAUUUCCAUUCGCUGUAUCUGCUGCGCAUCUCUUCC